rnacentral:rRNA from 1 species
AUUGAACGCUGGCGGUAGGCCUAACACAUGCAAGUCGAACGGCAGCACAGUAAGAGCUUGCUCUUACGGGUGGCGAGUGGCGGACGGGUGAGGAAUACAUCGGAAUCUACUUUUUCGUGGGGGAUAACGUAGGGAAACUUACGCUAAUACCGCAUACGACCUACGGGUGAAAGCAUGGGAUCUUCGGACCUUGCGCGAUUGAAUGAGCCGAUGUCGGAUUAGCUAGUUGGCGGGGUAAAGGCCCACCAAGGCGACGAUCCGUAGCUGGUCUGAGAGGAUGAUCAGCCACACUGGAACUGAGACACGGUCCAGACUCCUACGGGAGGCAGCAGUGGGGAAUAUUGGACAAUGGGCGCAAGCCUGAUCCAGCCAUACCGCGUGGGUGAAGAAGGCCUUCGGGUUGUAAAGCCCUUUUGCUGGGAAAGAAAAGCAGCAGGUUAAUACCCCGCUGUUCUGACGGUACCCAAAGAAUAAGCACCGGCUAACUUCGUG